AGAGGAAGCUCCGUUUAGAAAUAGCUCCUUGGUCACAUGCUGGACAAACAUGGAACAGCCUAUGGAACAGAAAAAAUCAUAUCUCUAUAUAAUGUGCAUUGGUUUCUUUGACUUGCCUGGUGUUGUGAGGAGGGGUCCUCCUUCAGAUUUUCAUCCAGGUCCACGCCAACUCUGUUAAACAAAACCAAAAACUGGUCAAUCCCCUGCUGCAGAAGGAA
rnacentral:lncRNA from 1 species